GUAAUCACUUCUGCAGCACAUAUUCUAAAUUUGAAAUGAUAUGGAGAAGAUUAGCAUUGUCCCUGCAAAUAACAUGUGAAUUUUUAAAGUGCUAUAAUUUUUU
rnacentral:snRNA from 1 species